rnacentral:tRNA from 1 species
GGGGCAUUAGCUCAGCUGGUUAGAGCGCCUGCUUUGCAAGCAGGAGGUCAUCGGUUCGACUCCGAUAUGCUCCACCA